rnacentral:rRNA from 1 species
ACGGGAGGCAGCAGUGGGGAAUAUUGCACAAUGGGGGAAACCCUGAUGCAGCGACGCCGCGUGGGUGAAGAAGUUUUUCGGAAUGUAAAGCCCUAUCAGCAGGGAAGAUAAUGACGGUACCUGACUAAGAAGCCCCGGCUAACUACGUGCCAGCAGCCGCGGUAAUACGUAGGGGGCAAGCGUUAUCCGGAUUUACUGGGUGUAAAGGGAGCGUAGGCGGUCUGGCAAGUCUGAUGUGAAACCCCGGGGCUUAACCCCGGGCAUGCAUUGGAAACUGUCGGACUAGAGUGUCGGAGAGGAAAGCGGAAUUCCUAGUGUAGCGGUGAAAUGCGUAGAUAUUAGGAGGAACACCAGUGGCGAAGGCGGCUUUCUGGACGAUAACUGACGCUGAGGCUCGAAAGCGUGGGGAGCAAACAGGAUUAGAUACCCUGGUA